rnacentral:rRNA from 1 species
GUGGGGAGCAAAYAGGAUUAGAUACCCUGGUAGUCCACGCUGUAAACGAUGAGUACUAGCUGUUGGAGUCGGUGUAAAGGCUCUAGUGGCACAGCUAACGCGAUAAGUACUCCGCCUGGGGACUACGGCCGCAAGGCUAAAACUCAAAGGAAUUGACGGGGACCCGCACAAGCGGUGGAGCAUGUGGUUUAAUUYGAUGCAACGCGAAGAACCUUACCUGGUCUUGACAUCCUGCGAGCUUUCUAGAGAUAGAUUGGUGCCUUCGGGAACGCAGUGACAGGUGCUGCACGGCUGUCGUCAGCUCGUGUUGUGAAAUGUUGGGUUAAGUCCCGCAACGAGCGCAACCCCUAUUGAUAGUUACCAUUAUUAAGUUAGGUACUUUAUUGAGACUGCCGCUGACAAGGCGGAGCAAGGUGGG